rnacentral:rRNA from 1 species
UACGGAGGGUGCAAGCGUUAUCCGGAAUUACUGGGUUUAAAGGGUGCGUAGGCGGUUAUGUAAGUCAGCAAGUGAAAUUCCACAGCUUAACUCGGAAAGGUCAACUGAUACUGUGCGACUAGAGUGCAGAAGGGGCAACUGGAAUUCUCGGUGUAGCGGUGAAAUGCGUAGAUAUCGGGAGGAACACCUAUUGCGAAGGCAGCUCGCUGGGACGUAACUGACGCUGAGACGCGAAAGCGUGGGGAGCAAACAGG